rnacentral:rRNA from 1 species
AAUAUUGCACAAUGGAGGAAACUCUGAUGCAGCGACGCCGCGUGAGCGAUGAAGGCUNNNGAGUCNUAAAGCUCUGUCCUAUGNGAANAUAAUGACGGUACCCUAGGAGGAAGCCCCGGCUAACUCCGUGCCAGCAGCCGCGGUAAUACGUAGGGGGCGAGCGUUGUCCGGAAUUAUUGGGCGUAAAGGGUUCGCAGGUGGCCUUUUAAGUCAGAUGUAAAAGCCCACGGCUCAACCGUGGUAAGCAUUUGAAACUGGAAGGCUUGAGUUAAGGAGAGGAAAGUGGAAUUCCUAGUGUAGCGGUGAAAUGCGUAGAUAUUAGGAGGAAUACCAGUGGCGAAGGCGACUUUCUGGACUUAUACUGACACUGAGGAACGAAAGCGUGGGGAGCAAACA